rnacentral:rRNA from 1 species
CCAGCCGUAAACUAUGGGUACUAGGUGUUGGCAGUUAACCUGUCAGUGCCGCAGCAAACGCAUUAAGUAUCCCGCCUGGGGAGUACGGCCGCAAGGCUGAAACUCAAAGGAAUUGACGGGGGCCCGCACAAGCAGUGGAGCAUGUGGUUUAAUUCGAAGCAACGCGAAGAACCUUACCGGGGAUUGACAUCUUGUCGAACUUGGUAGAGAUACCGAGGUGCCUUCGGGAACGUCAAGACAGGUGG